CAAAAAUUAACUUUUGGUGAUUAUUAUGGUUACAGCACAUCCAAAUUUGAACCAAAACAAUAGAUUUGGACACGAUCAUUAGGAAUCAGCAAAAUAAGUGACGAACAAUGCGAUAUUCUUUAUUAAUUGUAUGUUGACAAUACACCACAUUCGUUUCUUUAAUUCCGUUUCAAAACCACACUCUUUCACUGCAAAUCAAAUACUAAAUAAAAAAUCUUUCUCUGCUAGCUAUAUUCUAAAGCAAAAAAAAAAAACUAUUCUACAACGCUACGUCUUGAAUCCUGCCGAUAUGGCACACCAACCAAAAAAAUCUGACACAGCAUUUCGGAACAAUACAAAAACUUCACAACUCAUAAAACACUCACGAUAGUCAUUGAAAAAUUACAUAAUUUGAAAAACCGAUAUUUUAUGAAAAUAUGAAACAAUUCUAUUAAGAACAAUAAUGAAAUGCAUCGAUUUAUUCGUUUUUCUUAUAUUUCAAAAGUAAAAACAAAUCGUUAUGCUUGCUGUAUUCACAGCGAUGCAUUUUAAUUUGAAAUCAGCAACAUUGUCGACGCACGCUUUUUUUUAAUACCGACAACGAUCUUAAUCCACACACAAACAAAUUAAAUCUCAAAACUUGUUGUAAAGUGUCCAAAAUCGUAUGGCACACGUUCCAAAUUAUAGAUUCAAAAAUCCAAUCCUUUUCAUUGUUGCUGCUUACAAACAACAUCGAUACUCAAAAACGAUUUACAAAACAAAACAAAACAAAACAGUGGUGUUUAUUUUAUUUCCGAGAACCGAUUUCGGUGUCGCCACACAAUGCGCUCUGUUCAUGAUGUUUUACAGUACAAAUCUGACGAGAAUACAAACACACGCACACAUCUUCUAUGAACAUUUCAUCUUAUUGCCCGCUGUGUCAGAUUCUGUUACACUGUUUGUUAUUUAAAAUAGCGCGAAAUGGUAGAUAACAAACGAGAAAGAUGCUAAGAAAGCAUUUAAUAGAAAAUGAACUUUGAUUAAUUACCGAAUUUAUUCGGUAGAAGCCAACAAAGAAAUUUUAGAUGACAUUUUUUUGUCAAACAUAUUUAUUUUUCAAUAGUGAAAUGGAAAGAAGUCAAAAUAAAGUUAUUCGGCUAUUUUCUUGGGAGGUACGGUGAAUGAAACACGCAGACAACUAAUUGGUUUAUUUACGUUCUACAAAAAUAUCUUCAUAUAAAUAAAUAAGUAUCAAAUUGAAGAAAAAAAAACUAUUUAAGGUCUUAAUAAAUGUUUGUUUGUUAUAUUUUGAGA